AAUAUUACUGUUUUACUGUAUUUUUGAUUAAAUUAAAGCAGCCUUUGUGAGCAUAAGAGACUUUUAAAAAUGUACUGACCCCAAACUUUUGAACUGUAGUGAAGCUACUCGUAUUUUUGUGCAAUUACAUCCAAUACAUUUGUAGUAUUCUUCAGCUGUAUUUGCAUAAUGGAAACUAGAGCAUACUUUUAAUUGUGACCUCUUAACAUCACACAGUCUGAUGUGUGGGAUAAGUCUUGUAUUAAUAGAACAUGUUAGACAAUUCUAUAUAGUUAUAAUUAUAUUUUCGAUAUAAAUAUAUGUAAUUACGACUAUAAUUUUCAUGGUUUGUAAAAUGAUUAAGUUAUGAACAUUUAUUAAAAGUA